rnacentral:tRNA from 2 species
GCUGGGGUGGCGGAACCAGGUAACGCGCCAGCCUGGAGAGCUGGUGUCCCUUGUGGACUUCUGGGUUCAAAUCCCAGCCCCAGCG